UAAGGUGUCAUGAAAGAAUAAUCAUGUUACCCUGAGAGGAAGCUGACUUUGUCUUUGCAAAUACAGUCUGGCAGAAAAGAAAAGUUUCCAAAGGGGAAGAAAGACCAUAAAAUGCUCUCUGAAUCCAUAAGGACAACCCCAUUGGCACAGAUGGGAAUUUUACUCUGAAGUGACAGCACUGCUUUCCUGAAACAUGACCUAACGACUACAAAGAGUUUCUUUGGAAGCACCAAAUUUUGUCAUUGACCCCUCUUUACCAUAUCACGCUCUCCUGAACCACUCCAUAGCAAUGUUCCUGGGAAGUUAAAGAUGGCUCAGAAGAAAAACUGUCAUCUUUAACAAAGAAAGAACUGUGUCAUGGCAUCUUGUUACAAUGUUUCAGUUAUUUUGAAAAGCUUUGAUUUGUUGGAGGAAAGGCAAGAAAGUCUAUAAGGCCCCUCCAGCAAAGACACAAUGCAGAUAAGAUCCACCAUCAGAGCAGGUCUGAAGAAGCAACAGAGACCAAAUAUUCAUCUGUAGGCAGCACAUACGAAUGCUCGGGUGCAAACAGCCCGAUGCUAUUUAAAUGGAUGGAUUCUCAUGUGAAUUUACCAUUCACUCUCCUCUAGGGAUGUGAGGACAACGGGAG
rnacentral:lncRNA from 1 species